rnacentral:rRNA from 1 species
CCUACGGGUGGCAGCAGUGAGGAAUAUUGGUCAAUGGACGCGAGCCUGAACCAGCCAAGUAGCGUGAAGGAUGACUGCCCUAUGGGUUGUAAACUUCUUUUAUAUGGGAAUAAAAUGUUCCACGUGUGGGAUUUUGUAUGUACCAUAUGAAUAAGGAUCGGCUAACUCCGUGCCAGCAGCCGCGGUAAUACGGAGGAUCCGAGCGUUAUCCGGAUUUAUUGGGUUUAAAGGGAGCGUAGGUGGAUUGUUAAGUCAGUUGUGAAAGUUUGCGGCUCAACCGUAAAAUUGCAGUUGAAACUGGCAGUCUUGAGUACAGGAGAGGUAGGCGGAAUUCGUGGUGUAGCGGUGAAAUGCUUAGAUAUCACGAAGAACUCCGAUUGCGAAGGCAGCUCACUGGACUGCAACUGACACUGAGGCUCGAAAGUGUGGGUAUCAAACAGGAUUAGAUACCCCAGUAGUC